GGUAUAUAUCUACGUCCGACAGAGUGGAGUGCAUUGGAAUGGACAAACAGAAUUGAUUAUAAUCAGGAUAGUGUCACUGAACCAAAUAAUAGACCCAUGGGUAUAUAUUCUGUUACGAAAGGAAAACUUAAUGAAAUUUCAAAAGUUUUGUAUCAGUACUAAAGACAGACACUGCAAAUGUAACAAUCUUAACUUUAUCAAAGCUCCUUGUUUACAUACAAGUUUAGAGUCUCAUUCCAUAUCACAAUCCGGACUGUAACAUAUUCAUAUGUGUAAUGUUACCUGUUUACUUAGAACUAGUUCAUCUCUCAUUCCAAGCUGGACUUGCACAUAGAUUGACGAGAUAGGUCUGUCAUCGUUUUGUCUGAGUUGUAACCGAUUAGGCAUUACGAUGAGAUAUUUAUGCACAGAAGUGC
rnacentral:lncRNA from 1 species